GGCACUCCCCUGCCAGUGUACGAGGCAGUGUGAAGCUGGGGCCAGCUCCCCGCAGCCUCUGGAGUGCAUCGCAGACCUUUCAAGACCUAUGUUGCUGGCCCCCCAGAACCCGGAACAUGGCAGAAGGGGCGCAGGCCAACCCCAAAGGGUUCAAAAAGAAGGUGCUGGGUAGAUGCCUCUCUGGGAGGAGGGGCCCAAGCUUCGGGGCCUCCUGUCCUUCAAGAACCUCCAGGUCUAGCCUGGGUCUGAAGAAGCUCUUCGCCAUGGCCAUCCUCGCUGGCAGUGUUCUGUCCACAGCCCACAGCAGCCUGCUCAACCUGAAGGCCAUGGUGGAGGCCGUCACAGGGAGGAGCGCCAUCCUGUCCUUCGUGGGCUACGGCUGCUACUGUGGGUUGGGGGGCCGUGGGCAGCCCAAGGAUGAAGUGGACUGGUGCUGCCAUGCCCACGACUGCUGCUACCAGGAACUCUUUGACCAGGGCUGCCACCCCUACGUGGACCACUACGACCACACCAUUGAGAAUGACACUGAGAUCAUCUGCAGUGAGCUCAACAAGACAGAGUGUGACAAGCAGACGUGCGCGUGUGACAAGAAUGUGGUUCUGUGCCUCAUGAACAGGAUAUACCGAGAGGAGUACCGAGGCUUCCUCAACGUCUACUGCCAGGGCUCCACACCCAGCUGCAGCAUCUACAAACCGCCCCCUGAGGAGGUCACCUACAGUCACCCAUCCCCGGCGCCCCCCACCUUUCCCUAGAGCCUCUGAGGUCUGAGAGAGAAGAGCAGGUGGAGGGUCUGGCUUGGGGACCAGAGAGAGGAGCAGGGAGGGUAGGAGCCAGGCUGGGAGCCCCAGGGUUGCUGGUUGCCUCCUCCCUGGAGCCCUCCAGUGAGGGCUCAGCAGCCCCCACCCCCGAGGACUCAGGAAGGCCUGGGUCCUGACUUUGGUUGCAUCUCACCACUGAUUCUGCAUUAGGUGGGAAGCACAGAGCUUUAGGGGUCUCUCCUGAUGAGGGUGGCCGGGGAGAUCCGAGAGAGAGAGAGAGAGAGAGAGAGAGAGAGAGAGAGAGAGGAAGAGCAAGAGAGAGAGAGAGAGACAGGAGGGGCCUCUCAGUAGAGCCUCUGUUGUGGCCCCAGCUUGACUCCCCGGAGCCUUAGAGAGUCUGAGCCACCAGCCGAGGCCCAGAGGUGGGUGCAGUCCCGGCCCAAGGUCACAGGAAGGCAGAUUGCUGGUCCCAAAGCUUGGGUUCCAGGACCCCUCGGCUGGUCCCACAGGAUGGUCCGGGGUGGCGGUUACUUUGGGCUUGAGGCUCUCUAGAGCAGGUGGCCUCACCCCAGCCCUCGCUAAGGUGGCCAUGAGUCCAGGCUCAGACCCCAGGGUAUAGCGCUGUGUUGAGUGUCCCAGCCCUGGAGUCCAGCCUCAGAGCAGAAUCCUGGGCACUGACAGAGCCACACCCAGGGACACCCCCGGCCUAAUAUGGGGACACAUGAAAACCCAGCCCCGACGCCUGCAAGUCUUCUCUGUAUCCCCCAUUGACUCAUGCGUGUCACCCCGGCCCUGCCCCACCACACCGCAUGGCUCUGAGGAAUGCCCCUACCCCCGCCAGGGACCCCUAUCCAGGUCCCUGACAGACACUGCCCUCCUGGCCUGCCUCUGGAACGGUGAAGGGGGGACCCUCACCCUCUCUCCCUGGGCUGUGGGCAGGUGUCACAAGUCCCAUUGGUGGGGAAGAGGCUGAGGGCUGAGACCGACCUCAGUGAAGAGGGAAGCAAAGGAGGGAGAACACCAAGGUGGGAGGCUGUGUGGAAGAUUCUAGAAGACGGUCAAGGUGGGAGGCUGUGUGGAAGAUUCUAGAAGACGGUCAAGGUGGGAGGCUGUGUGGAAGAUUCUAGAAGACGGUCAAGGUGGGAGGCUGUGUGGAAGAUUCUAGAAGGCAGUAAGGAGGGAACAGGGUGGUGAAGGAGAGGGGAGAAGAUGGAAGCCAGAAGAGACGAGGUGAGUGACCAGCAGAGAGGGGCCUCCAGGCAGCACAGAGGAGCUGGGGGCAGGCCCUUGUGGGGCUGGGUGUCUGUGUGGGGCCUGGAACCGGGCUGAGGUGGAGGGGACGCCCCUGCGGGCCCCCAGCACUGCUGUUUCUCCAGGUGCACCUGCCCCUGCUCCUUACCUGUCCGAGCCUCAACUCAGGGUCGGCGGCCUCCACGGAGCCAGCCCCACCAGUCCGAUGACCACUGAGGCCCUUCUCUGCCUGGACUCAACAGCCACCAGCAAGCUCAUCCGGCAGUGCCCCGGGCACCAUUGUUGAUGGGGAGGAAGGGCAGAGGAGGGACAUGUAUGAAAAGGAGGCCAGGGAGCCUCACCAGCCCCAGGUUCCAGAGGCCCAGCCAUGGAGACAAGGACACUGCCCCCCAGUGCCACCGUCAGUGUGUGAGGGUCCCAUGCUGUCCUCCACCACUCCCCACUCCCCACUCCGCCACAGCGCCGCCUCCUGCUGGCCAUGGUCCGCGGGCUAGGGGAACGCAGGUUCCAGGCUACGCCCCUCGACACGCACACACACCCUCCCCUGCCCCCCAGGAAGUCCAGGCCAAGGUCUGGGGAUGGGAUUCUGCUGCCUGGGGGUCCUGCCCACCCCCACUCACCCCAGACACUUUGGAUGCUGCAGCUCCCGGAGAAUCUCCACAGGACUCGGCUUCCCCUCCUCAAAUGAAUAAAGGCCUCCUACCUCAACUCUC